rnacentral:rRNA from 1 species
CUCUGUGACUCCUACGGGAGGCAGCAGUGGGGAAUAUUGCACAAUGGGCGAAAGCCUGAUGCAGCAACGCCGCGUGAACGAUGAAGGCCUUCGGGUUGUAAAGUUCUUUUCUUAGAGAAGAAUCCAUGACGGUAUCUAAGGAAUAAGCCCCGGCUAACUACGUGCCAGCAGCCGCGGUAAUACGUAGGGGGCAAGCGUUAUCCGGAAUCACUGGGCGUAAAGGGAGUGUAGGCGGUCAAGCAAGUCAGAGGUGAAAGGCAUCGGCUCAACCGGUGUAAGCCUUUGAAACUGUUUGACUUGAGUGCAGGAGAGGUAAGUGGAAUUCCUAGUGUAGAGGUGAAAUUCGUAGAUAUUAGGAGGAACACCAGUGGCGAAGGCGACUUACUGGACUGUAACUGACGCUGAUGCACGAAAGCGUGGGUAGCGAACAGGAUUAGAUACCCUGGUAG